rnacentral:misc_RNA from 1 species
UAUUUAUCAACUGCUCUGAUUAUUAUCAAAGUGAAGUUGGAUUAUGAAGGCAUAAUGCAGAUAAUCUGCUCUUUUAAAAUACAUCUUGGAGAUGCUUUUUAAUAUAUACAUCAAUGUAAUAAAAUUUACACGUUGUUGAUAUAUUACAAAAAAUCCAAGUUAACUUAAUUUAUCAUA